AAUUAUGUACUUAUGUGUAUUUGUGUGUUUAUGAAUUUUAAAUUGAUUUUGACAUGUUAAGUGUGUUUUUAUGUCUUGUGUAAUUAUUGUGGUUUGAGAUUAAAUUAGAUAGUAUUAUAAUUUAGGAGUUAGUUAUGGGAGAAAAUAAAUAAUUAGAGGUUUUGGACUUAUUUAUGAGAGAAAGAGGUAGAGAGAGAAGUUAAAAGAAGGGUUUUGGUGAAAGUUGAAGAGAAAGAAGAGAUGAGGAAUGCAAAUCUCGUUUUCAACACAGCAGCCUCACAAAAACUUCGAUUCCCGAUUCGUUAACCGUUGGAUGUCCUUCAAAUUUUGAGGGUAGGUUCAUAACAUCUGAGGCCAACUUUUGACCGUUCGGAUCGUUGAAACAAGGUCUGAGGAGGAAGAAAUUGAGUUCGGAUUGCACCAGAUGUGUUGGGGAGAAAAAGAGGGAAAAAGGCAAGAACAAGGUGGAGCUUCAAGAACCAUUGCCAUCCUCCAUUUUCUUUACAAGCAAAGGUUUUCCAGGUUGUUGAGUCUCGUGUGUUUGAGUUCUUGAUGAAGCUCUGCUCUGAUUGUGACACGGGGAAGAGUUUUUAGAGUCAUUUACUCUGUCAUUUUAUUUUUAAUUUAAAAUGUUUCUUGUUAGAAAAGAAAAAUAUUUUUAUUAGUGAUGCUUAUGCUAAUUUAUUUUCAUUAGCAAUAUGAAGAAAAAUGUAAUACCUUAAACCAAUAUUUUCAUAAGUUAUUUUGACUCCAAGCCUAUUUAUUAUUUAUAACCGCUGCGUAAUUUUAAAAAGCAUUCUUGAAUUAGAGUAACUUUUGAAUAUUGGGUUUAGGGCGUUACAAAGUGGUAUCAGAACAGGUCUGUCUAGUCAGAUCGAGUGGGCGUGGUGUCAGUUGUGUUUGUCUAUCGCUUGUAUUUUAUUAUGUGUUGAUUGUUAUAGUUACACUUGCACCUAGUGUCACUAUUUAACUAUCUUGCAAGAUGUGUGAUUAGUUUCAGGAAUUUCAUUGUUACGAUAUAUUCAUCCUUUCUCGUUAUGAUCUGAUUCUUAAUUUUGAAAAUUAAGGGAAGAUAUAUGUCACCUAAAUGUUUGUGUGAGACAUUGUGUUUUGUGUUUCAUUCCCUUGUAUGCAAUGUGUGUUUAAACACUGUCUACACUUGUUUCUUUUGUGAGACUAAGUUCGAGUGCGGUUGAUGACAUUCCGUCAUUUGAGUAUUUUUAAUUAUUAUUUUAUAGUAUUUUAGUUAGUUUUUAAGAGUAUUGUAUGGUCAAGGAGAAGAAUUUAUGAAGAAAAUAACACAUAAAAGAGUUUGAAGACAAAAGACCAAAGAAGAAAAAGACUUAGAAAAAAUCCCAAUAUUUUGAAGCUAAAAGAAGCUUCAUUCUCUGUUUUUCUCGCGUCCCCAGCUGAUCCAAUAGUGGUGCGAUUUUUCACCUUUCAGAGCAUGACAUCAGCGCACGUUCAGCAUGACAUCAUCAGCUUUAUUCUAUAUUUAAAUGACGUGUCAAAAGGUAAUGGGAGGAGGACUUGCUUCUAGUGGCACGGGUUGUAAUUCUUAAGGAUCUUUGUUCCCUCAUAUAAAUAGGAACUUUUCAUUGACCUAGAAAGAUCACGCAGACGGAGAAAAGAAAAAAGCAGUCACGCACGCAGACGAGGCUUCACCUUUGAAUAACAGUUUCUUUGUGUUGGCUUUGUACACAUUCAACUACAAUUUUAUGUGUAAUUCUUUAUUCUCUAUUAUCUCUAAUUGAUAUUAUGAGUAGUUAAUUUCUCAAUUGUUAGGGAUGAGUAAACCUAGAUGACUAUUCUUAUUUUAUGAUUUGAUUUAUGAUUAUUGAAGAAUUCUAUUGAUUAUUUUUCUUA